rnacentral:misc_RNA from 1 species
UCCGGCUUAUCACCGGCGGUUUCUCUAGAGUGCCCAACUGAAUGGUAGCAACUAGAGACGAGGGUUGCGCUCGUUGCGGGACUUAACCCAACAUCUCACGACACGAGCUGACGGCAGCCAUGCAGCACCUGUGUUCCAGUCCCCGAAGGGAAGAGAUCCAUCUCUGGAAAUCGUCCGGACAUGUCAAACGCUGGUAAGGUUCUGCGCGUUGCUUCGAAUUAAACCACAUGCUCCACCGCUUGUGCAGGCCCCCGUCAAUUCCUUUGAGUUUUAAUCUUGCGACCGUACUCCCCAGGCGGAGUGCUUAAUGCGUUAGCUGCGGCACAGAGCGGGUUGAAGACCGCCCCACACCUAGCACUCAACGUUUACGGCUGGGACUAC